ACCCUCUCAAGCGCGGCUUGGAUUUGAAUCAGUGCCGUGGCAGGAUUCCAAUAUCGUUGGCAAUUGACCAUCUGUGAUGACUCACUCCGAGUCAAUUCGCCGGAACACUUCUUUUUAAG
rnacentral:misc_RNA from 1 species